UACGAGGGGUGCAAGCGUUAUUCGGAAUUAUUGGGCGUACAGGGUGUGUAGGCGGUAUGUUAAGUCUGUUGUUAAAUGUCUCGGCCUAACCGAGAACCAGCGAUGGAUACUGGCAUACUAGAGGAUGGAAGAGAGAAGUGGAAUUCUUGGAGUAGCGGUAAAAUGCGUAGAUCUCAAGAGGAACACCAAUGGCGAAGGCAGCUUCUUGGUCCAUACCUGACGCUGAGACACGAAAGCGUGGGGAGCAAACAGG
rnacentral:misc_RNA from 1 species